AAUAGUUAACUGAAUCAGGUUGUUGAAUACCGGUAUU
rnacentral:sRNA from 1 species